AUAUUGGUCAAUGGGCGCGAGCCUGAACCAGCCAAGUUGCGUGCAGGAUGACGGCCCUAUGGGUUGUAAACUGCUUUUAUACAGGGAUAAAGUAGGGAACGUGUUCCCUUUUGCAGGUACUGUAUGAAUAAGGACCGGCUAAUUCCGUGCCAGCAGCCGCGGUAAUACGGAAGGUCCGGGCGUUAUCCGGAUUUAUUGGGUUUAAAGGGAGCGCAGGCCGGAGGUCAAGCGUGAUGUGAAAUGUAGGGGCUCAACCUUUGAAUUGCGUCGCGAACUGGCUUUCUUGAGUGAGUACGACGUCAGCGGAAUUCGUGGUGUAGCGGUGAAAUGCUUAGAUAUCACGAAGAACCCCGAUUGCGAAGGCAGCUGACGAGUCCUUAACUGACGCUAAAGCUCGAAGGUGCGGGUAUCGAACA
rnacentral:rRNA from 1 species